AAAAAGUUUUAUUCUUGCUUUUUUAUUUAUUAUUUAUUUAAUUUACAUGAUUUUUUUUUUUUCAGUAAUUAGUUUUAUUAUUUAUUAUUAAUAAUUAUUUAUUGAUUUAAUUUUUUUUAGAAAAAUAUUGUGCCAGCAUUCGCGGUUAUACAUUUUAUGAAAUUAAAUAUUUUUGGUUUUUAUAUUACUAUUUGAUUAUUUUUUUUUUUAUUAAGGUGAAAUUUAUAAUAAAAUUAUUUUUCUUUUUUAUUUAUUAUAAAAUUUUUUUUAAAACUAGGAUUAGAUACCCUAUUAUUAAUUUCUUAUUUUUUUUUUCUUGAUUAAUAUUAGUUAAGUUCUUAAAAAAUCAAAGAAUUUGGCGGUUAAUUAUAUCUUUUUAGAGGAACAUGUAUUUUAAUUGAUAAUCCACGAUAUUUUUUACCAAAAUUUUUAUUUGUAUAUCUCUAUUGAUAGAAUAUUUUUAUAAAAAAAAUUUUCUUUUUCUAAUUUAGAAUUAUUUUAGGUCAAGGUGCAGUUUUAUUUUGGUUUAUAUGUGUUACUAAGUUUUUAAUUAAUUUAAUUUUCUUAUUGAAUAUUUUUAGGAUUUAAUAGUAAAUUUAAUUAAUUAAUUAUUUUGAAUAAAGUUCUUAUUAAUGUACAUAUCGCCCGUCACUCCUUAAUAUAGGAUAAGUCGUAACAAAGUAGUUUUACUGGAAAGUGAGUCUAGAAUUU
rnacentral:ncRNA from 1 species